rnacentral:rRNA from 1 species
UACGAAGGGGGCUAGCGUUGUUCGGAAUUACUGGGCGUAAAGGGCGCGUAGGCGGUCCUGAUCGUCGGAUGUGAAAGGCCUGGGCUCAACCUGGGAACUGCAUCCGAUACGGCGGGACUGGAGUGUGGGAGAGGUUGGUGGAAUUCUCGGUGUAGAGGUGAAAUUCGUAGAUAUCGAGAGGAACACCGGUGGCGAAGGCGGAUCUCUGGGCCUUACCUGACGCUCAGGCGCGAAAGCUAGGGGAGCGAACAGG